rnacentral:rRNA from 1 species
UACGUAGGGUGCAAGCGUUGUCCGGAAUUAUUGGGCAUAAAGAGCUCGUAGGCGGCUUGUCGCGUCGGAUGUGAAAGCCCGGGGCUUAACUCCGGGUCUGCAUUCGAUACGGGCAGGCUAGAGUUCGGUAGGGGAGAUCGGAAUUCCUGGUGUAGCGGUGAAAUGCGCAGAUAUCAGGAGGAACACCGGUGGCGAAGGCGGAUCUCUGGGCCGAUACUGACGCUGAGGAGCGAAAGCGUGGGGAGCGAACAGG